rnacentral:rRNA from 1 species
CCUACGGGAGGCAGCAGUGAGGAAUAUUGGUCAAUGGACGAGAGUCUGAACCAGCCAAGUAGCGUGAAGGAUGACUGCCCUAUGGGUUGUAAACUUCUUUUAUAAAGGAAUAAAACGAGGCACGUGUGCCUUUUUGCAUGUACUUUAUGAAUAAGGAUCGGCUAACUCCGUGCCAGCAGCCGCGGUAAUACGGAGGAUCCGUGCGUUAUCCGGAUUUGUUGGGUUUAAAGGGAGCGUAGAUGGGUUUUUAAGUCAGUUGUGAAAGUUUGCGGCUCAACCGUAAAAUUGCAAUGGAUACUAGCAGUCUUGAGUACAGUUGAGGUAGGCGGAAUUCGUGGUGGAGCGGUGAAAUGCUUAGAUAUCACGAAGAACCCCGAGUGCGAAGGCAGCUUACUAAACUGUGACUGACAUUGAUGCUCGAAAGUGUGGGUAUCAAACAGGAUUAGAUACCCCAGUAGUC